ensembl:lncRNA
GAGAGAGAGGGAGAGAGAGAGAGAGAGGGAAGAGAGAGAGAGAGAGAGAGGGAAGAGAGAGAGAAGAGAGAGAGAGAGGGAAGAGAGAGAGAGAGAGGGAAGAGAGAGAGAGGGACGAGAGAGAGAGGGGGAAGAGAGAGAGAGAGGGACGAGAGAGAGAGAGGGACGAGAGAGUUAAAGUUAGAGGGAAGAGAGAGAGAGAGAGCGAGAGGGAAGAGAGAGAUAGCGAGAGGGAAGAGAGAGAUAGCGAGAGGGAAGAGAGAGAUAGCGAGAGGGAAGAGAGAGAGAGCGAGAGAGGUGAGUGAGAGAGAGAGGGGGA